GACGAACGCUGGCGGCGUGCUUAACACAUGCAAGUCGAACGAAGAGCGAUGGAAGCUUGCUUCUAUCAAUCUUAGUGGCGAACGGGUGAGUAACGCGUAAUCAACCUGCCCUUCAGAGGGGGACAACAGUUGGAAACGACUGCUAAUACCGCAUACGAUCUAACCUCGGCAUCGAGGAUAGAUGAAAGGUGGCCUCUACAUGUAAGCUAUCACUGAAGGAGGGGAUUGCGUCUGAUUAGCUAGUUGGAGGGGUAACGGCCCACCAAGGCGAUGAUCAGUAGCCGGUCUGAGAGGAUGAACGGCCACAUUGGGACUGAGACACGGCCCAGACUCCUACGGGAGGCAGCAGUGGGGAAUCUUCCGCAAUGGACGAAAGUCUGACGGAGCAACGCCGCGUGAGUGAUGACGGCCUUCGGGUUGUAAAGCUCUGUUAAUCGGGACGAAAGGC
rnacentral:rRNA from 1 species